rnacentral:rRNA from 1 species
GAUGAACGCUGGCGGCGUGCCUAAUACAUGCAAGUCGAGCGAACGGACGAGAAGCUUGCUUCUCUGAUGUUAGCGGCGGACGGGUGAGUAACACGUGGAUAACCUACCUAUAAGACUGGGAUAACUUCGGGAAACCGUAGCUAAUACCGGAUAAUAUUUUGAACCGCAUGGUUCAAAAGUGAAAGACGGUCUUGCUGUCACUUAUAGAUGGAUCCGCGCUGCAUUAGCUAGUUGGUAAGGUAACGGCUUACCAAGGCAACGAUGCAUAGCCGACCUGAGAGGGUGAACGGCCACACGGGAACUGAGACACGGUCCCGACUCCGACGGGAGGCAGCAGUAGGGAAUCUUCCGCAAUGGGCGAAAGCCGGACGGAGCAACGCCGCGUGAGUGAUGAAGGUCUUCGGAUCGUAAAACUCUGUUAUUAGGGAAGAACAUAUGUGUAAGUAACUGUGCACAUCUUGACGGUACCUAAUCAGAAAGCCACGGCUAACUACGUG